rnacentral:rRNA from 1 species
GACGAACGCUGGCGGCGUGCCUAAUGCAUGCAAGUAGAACGCUGAAGAGAGGAGCUUGCUCUUCUUGGAUGAGUUGCGAACGGGUGAGUAACGCGUAGGUAACCUGCCUGGUAGCGGGGGAUAACUAUUGGAAACGAUAGCUAAUACCGCAUAAAAUGGAUUAUCGCAUGAUAAUCCAUUGAAAGGUGCAAAUGCAUCACUACCAGAUGGACCUGCGUUGUAUUAGCUAGUUGGUGGGGUAACGGCUCACCAAGGCGACGAUACAUAGCCGACCUGAGAGGGUGAUCGGCCACACUGGGACUGAGACACGGCCCAGACUCCUACGGGAGGCAGCAGUAGGGAAUCUUCGGCAAUGGACGGAAGUCUGACCGAGCAACGCCGCGUGAGUGAAGAAGGUUUUCGGAUCGUAAAGCUCUGUUGUAAGAGAAGAACGAGUGUGAGAGUGGAAAGUUCACACUGUGACGGUAGCUUACCAGAAAGGGACGGCUAACUACGUG